rnacentral:rRNA from 1 species
UACGUAGGGUGCAAGCGUUGUCCGGAAUUAUUGGGCGUAAAGAGCUCGUAGGCGGUUUGUCGCGUCGUCCGUGAAAACUUGUGGCUUAACCACAGGCUGGCGGUCGAUACGGGCAGGCUGGAGUUCGGUAGGGGAGACUGGAAUUCCUGGUGUAGCGGUGAAAUGCGCAGAUAUCAGGAGGAACACCGGUGGCGAAGGCGGGUCUCUGGGCCGAUACUGACGCUGAGGAGCGAAAGCGUGGGGAGCGAACAGG